rnacentral:rRNA from 1 species
CCUACGGGAGGCAGCAGUGGGGAAUUUUGGACAAUGGGCGAAAGCCUGAUCCAGCCAUUCCGCGUGAGUGAAGAAGGCCUUCGGGUUGUAAAGCUCUUUCGCAAGGGAAGAAAACUUAGAUACUAAUAUUAUCUGAGGUUGACGGUACCUUGAUAAGAAGCACCGGCUAACUACGUGCCAGCAGCCGCGGUAAUACGUAGGGUGCGAGCGUUAAUCGGAAUUACUGGGCGUAAAGCGUGCGCAGGCGGUUUUGUAAGUCAGAUGUGAAAUCCCCGAGCUCAACUUGGGAACUGCGUUUGAAACUACAAGACUAGAAUAUGUCAGAGGGGGGUAGAAUUCCACGUGUAGCAGUGAAAUGCGUAGAGAUGUGGAGGAAUACCAAUGGCGAAGGCAGCCCCCUGGGAUAAUAUUGACGCUCAUGCACGAAAGCGUGGGGAGCAAACAGGAUUAGAUACCCUGGUAGUCCACGCCCUAAACGAUGUCUACUAGUUGUUGGUGGAGUAAAAUCCAUGAGUAACGCAGCUAACGCGUGAAGUAGACCGCCUGGGGGAGGUACGGUCGGUCGAGAAGUUAAACGUAACGUUAAAGAAGUUAGAGGCGUUGAGAGNGCGACGGACGACGACGAGGGAGGAGG